UUACGACCACAUCAGGUUGAAACACUGGUUACCGUAAGAUCACCGAGGUUAAGCAACGUCGAGCCUGGUCUGUAUCUUGAUGAGGGACCAGGUGGGAAUAAAAAGUGUUGUAA